rnacentral:rRNA from 1 species
GACAGAGGAGCCAAGCGUUGUCCGGAUUGACUGGGCGUAAAGCGCACGCAGGCGGAUGCGCGCGUGGGGUGUGAAAUCUGGCCGCUUAACGGCCAGGCGCCAUCCCAUACGGCGCGUCUGGAGUGAUGCAGAGGUCGAUGGAAUUGCCGGUGUAGUGGUGAAAUGCGUAGAGAUCGGCAGGAACACCCAUGGGGAAACCAGUCGACUGGGCAUCUACUGACGCUGAGGUGCGAGAGCGUGGGGAGCGAACCGG